UACAGAGGUCUCAAGCGUUGUUCGGGUUCAUUGGGCGUAAAGGGUGCGUAGGCGGCGCGGUAAGUCGGGUGUGAAAUCUCGGAGCUCAACUCCGAAACUGCAUUCGAUACUGCCGUGCUUGAGGACUGGAGAGGAGACUGGAAUUUACGGUGUAGCGGUGAAAAGCGUAGAUAUCGUAAGGAAGACCAGUGGCGAAGGCGGGUCUCUGGACAGUACCUGACACUGAGACACGAAGGCCAGGGGAGCAAACGGG
rnacentral:rRNA from 1 species